rnacentral:rRNA from 1 species
UUUUAUUAAUUGAUUACUUCGGUAUGAUUUUUCUAAAAUCCAGUGGCGGACGGGUGAGUAACACGUGGGUAACCUGCCCUUAACGUAGGGGAUAACAUUUGGAAACAGAUGCUAAUACCGUAUAAACCUCAGAAACACAUGUUUCUGAGUUGAAAGGCGGCUUUCGAGCUGUCACUUUUGGAUGGACCCGCGGCGUAUUAGCUAGUUGGUGAGGUAAAGGCUCACCAAGGCAGUGAUACGUAGCCGACCUGAGAGGGUGAUCGGCCACAUUGGGACUGAGACACGGCCCAAACUCCUACGGGAGGCAGCAGUAGGGAAUCUUCCACAAUGGACGAAAGUCUGAUGGAGCAACGCCGCGUGAGUGAAGAAGGUUUUCGGAUCGUAAAACUCUGUUGUUGGAGAAGAACACGUUUGAGAGUAACUGUUCAGACGUUGACGGUAUCCAACCAGAAAGCCACGGCUAACUACGUGCCAGCAGCCGCGGUAAUACGUAGGUGGCAAGCGUUAUCCGGAUUUAUUGGGCGUAAAGCGAGCGCAGGCGGUUUCUUAAGUCUGAUGUGAAAGCCUUCGGCUUAACCGAAGAAGUGCAUCGGAAACUGGGAAACUUGAGUGCAGAAGAGGACAGUGGAACUCCAUGUGUAGCGGUGAAAUGCGUAGAUAUAUGGAAGAACACCAGUGGCGAAGGCGGCUGUCUGGUCUGUAACUGACGCUGAGGCUCGAAAGCAUGGGUAGCGAACAGGAUUAGAUACCCUGGUAGUCCAUGCCGUAAACGAUGAAUGCUAGGUGUUGGAGGGUUUCCGCCCUUCAGUGCCGCAGCUAACGCAUUAAGCAUUCCGCCUGGGGAGUACGACCG